AAGACCUUGCGCUUUUGGAGCGGCCGAUGUCUGAUUAGCUUGUUGGUAAGGUAAAAGCUUACCAAGGCUUCGAUCAGUAGCUGGUCUGAGAGGACGGCCAGCCACACUGGGACUGAGACACGGCCCAGACUCCUACGGGAGGCAGCAGUGGGGAAUUUUGGACAAUGGGGGCAACCCUGAUCCAGCCAUGCCGCGUGAGUGAAGAAGGCCUUCGGGUUGUAAAGCUCUUUCAGCCGGAACGAAACGGUUACGGUUAAUACCCGUGACUACUGACGGUACCGGAAGAAGAAGCACCGGCUAACUACGUGCCAGCAGCCGCGGUAAUACGUAGGGUGCGAGCGUUAAUCGGAAUUACUGGGCGUAAAGCGUGCGCAGGUGGUUUUGUAAGUCAGAUGUGAAAGCCCCGGGCUCAACCUGGGAACU
rnacentral:rRNA from 1 species